rnacentral:rRNA from 1 species
AUACGGAGGGUGCAAGCGUUAAUCGGAAUUACUGGGCGUAAAGCGUACGUAGGCGGUUCGUUAAGUUAGAUGUGAAAGCCCCGGGCUUAACCUGGGGACUGCAUUUAAAACUGGCGGACUAGAGUUGAGUAGAGGGGAGUGGAAUUUCAGGUGUAGCGGUGAAAUGCGUAGAGAUCGGAAGGAACACCAGUGGCGAAGGCGACUCCCUGGACUCGAACUGACGCUGAGGUACGAAAGCGUGGGUAGCAAACGGGAUUAGAAACCCCAGUAGUCC